UUGGAAGAAGUCAUCAUGGUGGUCUGAGCCAGAUGGAGAAAGAGGGCGCCGCCGACCAUAAAAGGUGUAAAUUGUUACAAUUCAACAAAUAUAUGCAAUCCUCUGCAUGAAAGUAUACAGAUUGUCCUCCAGCAACUGGAAAUUGUUAAAGAGAAGUAAAAGACCUAGAUGUUGGUUGUCGUCUAGCAUAGCUGAUGGUGGAAGUUUCCAAUGGCGGUUGCUAGUUCCUGUUCAAGUUCUGGAUUUCUAAGUCACAGCUGGCGGUGCAGGAGGGAUUUUCAAGCAAUAAUGGAGGUGGAUGGCUGAGUUGCCCUUCGGCCAAUGCCGGCAGCUCCCAGUGCGCUUCCUCUCUGGUCGGCCAAACUACAGGGGGUAUUUAUGUUAAGUUCAAUUUAAUAAACGCUCUGGCCGACCCCCACGUCCA